GAUGAAGAACGUAGCGAAAUGCGAUACGUAAUGUGAAUUGCAGAUUUCAGUGAAUCAUCGAAUCUUUGAACGCACAUUGCGCCCGCUAGUAUUCUGGCGGGCAUGCCUGUUCGAGCGUCAUUUCAACCAUCAAGCCCUAGGCUUGCGUUGGGGCCCUGCGGCUGCCGCAGGCUCCCAAAUCCAGUGGCGGGCUCGUCGUCGUACCGAGUGCAGUAAACAUCCUCGCUCAGGGAACGUGACGGGUUCUUGCCGUGAAACCCCCCACAUAUCAAGGUUGACCUCGGAUCAGGUAGGAAUACCCGCUGAACUUAAGCAUAUCAAUAAGCGGAGGA
rnacentral:misc_RNA from 1 species